UCAGAUUACCAUUGAAGUCUCCAGAGGGGGAUAGCAUAUUACAGACCUUGAAUAGAUGGCCUUCUGGGUGGAAACAUUAUUAUGGUGUUUUUGAUCCUACAUUGUUUUUAUACAGUGGUGGUUUUAAAAUGACAAUUUCAAUGCUUAAAACUGAUGAAAAAUACACAGAUGCAUAAUUGGGGUUUAAAGAUAGAUAGCAAUCUGAGAUACAGUUUUUGCUUGCAACUUCUGUCCUUGGUAGGGUCCUAGUUGAACUUUCUGCCUCACAUUUCCUCUAGGACUGAUACAUUGUGUUUAACAGGCAUUCAAAGUGGAAUUCAUGUUUGUGAAAAACUGGGAAUAGCCAAGACAAAGUUUCCUACAAGUACUGGCUUUUGGCAGGGGCAUCAGAACUGUCUUGCAUGUGGAUCUUUAAGGAGACACCUGAGGGGUAUAGUUUUUUUAACAAGGAUGAGAAGAGAGAGAUUUAUUACCAAAUGUAGUCCCUCAUCUGGGUCUGAAAGUGAAUGUAUCACGCAGGAUGACAGUGUUGGCAGUGGUGUGAGUGCCAUGAAUUUUUGAACUUUGUUCAUUUUAUGUGGACAAGUAUCUGUAUCACUUACCUACAGUUAAAAAACUGGUUAGAAGAGACAUCAAGGAUUAAACAAUGAGCACACAGCAUUUCAUUUCUACAGAUGAUAUUUUCAGCUCAAAAUCAAUAUAUUUCAGUGGGUCAUAGGAUUGAAAAAGGGUAAUCUGUUGCCAUGGCCAUAUUAUGUCUCCAGUAAACACAAGCUGCACUUGGAUUUGCAGCAUGCACAACUGUUGGAAUUUUUUUUUAGUAGUACUUGAUUUCCAAUGUUGCUGGUGAUUUGUAAAACCCAACCCCCACUUUAUAUGCAUAUCCUACUAAGCCUUUUAUUGGUUUGCAUAAUAAGAUCUGGAGCUCCCCAUUGCAAUCAUUUCUGAGAACUCUAAACUGGGAAUGGCAACAAAAAGAGGAAUUCUGAGUUUUAACAGGCUACGCACCUGUCAAUCCAUAGUAGGUAAAAGUGAAAAAUCCCUGUAUCAAGUACUAGAAAUUUGUGGUACCAUUUGUAUUGUUUCCUGUUUGUAAGGGAAACUGAGCAGACCUUCUCAUAAAGAGCAGCCUACAUCUGCAUGGCACAUUAAAUUUGAAGUCUAUAGACUCAACUAGUUAAUAUGCCAGGUACUGUUUGGCUUUAGAUUCUGUUUGUCUUCUAUUGCUACAUUUGCCUGGAGUGUUUUGUUGUUGAGAAAUUUGGGACUUUAUUCCCUGAAGCAGGCCAGGUUUCUGAUGCCCAAGGUUUAUUUGAGAAGCAAGGAGUGUAUAGCUGUUACACAGUGUGGUAACCCAAAAUGCCUGACUGACUCAGGCAUUUCGAGGCUGAGUUGUGUUUUGCAGCUGCCUUGUAUUUGCAAGUUUCUGCCCUUCUCAUAGAAACUAUACCCAACGUGUGCAAUUGCAGAUGAGCAACACAUCAAUCAGAAUCUGCGCUUAGUUGGUUAUUUAUUAUGACACUUAAUGUUACCAAUUCCAUCCCUUUCUCUCAACCUGCUGUUCUCUGGCUCCCUUGUUUCUUGCAAGCUUUGCAGAGCAGGGUGAUCAGCUCGAGGUGCCUUAUGUUAGGCCUGCAGGAAUCCUUACUGUAGGAACUGACAGUGAGAGCCAGCUGGCAAAGCCCAAGUCUGAACCAUGGAUCCCCCAGCACCUGUUUCAUGUGUAGCAUGCCAGGAGGGAGGAGGAUUACAUAAAUACCUGCUUCUAGAGUUGCCUGAAUACAUCACUUUAACAUAUGCUGAAGGUGUAUGCACAGGAUAGGACUGAGGAUGUCUGCCCCAGCCCCUUCAGUCCCACUGCUUUCCCUCCCAUGAUUACAUCUGAAAGAAAAACAGUUACUGAGCAGAAAUUCUUUACUGAGGGUGGUGAGGCACUGGAAUAGGUUGCCUAGAGAAGCUGAGGAUGCUCCAUCCCUGUGAAUGUCUAAGAGCAUCUUGGAUGGGGCUCUGACAACCCUGGCCUUGUGAAAGGCAUCCUUGCCCAUAGCAAGAGAGUUAAAAUUAGAUGAUCUUUAAGGUCCCCUCCAACCCAGGCUACUCUAUGGUUCUGUGAUAUGAUGAUUCUGUGUGCUGUGCAUUGGCUUCAACAAAAAUCACCUCACCCCGCACACCUGUGCCAUGCUGUUAAAGCACUUUUCUGCCCUUUUGGGUAGAGGAGGGAAAACUGAAUUCCUGGGUAAGUGCUAAAUAGUGUAUGGACUCAGAGGGCUACCAUGACCCCUGCAAGGAGAUGGAGUAGGUGCCUAAGGAAAGGCUGAGGAUCUGGAAUUCCACACAAGGUAUCUUGCCUCACCCCAUCAUUACAAUGAACUCGGCAGUUGAUGAGGUGUUUUGAGAGAUCUGUUGGCGUGCCUGGAUGGUUCUUAUAGAGAUCUUAACAGAAUGGACAAUGAAGAUUACAUUCUUAAGUAUUCUAAUUUUUGCCUUCAGUAUGCACUGGGGCAGGGUGUCUUAAACUGGGGCUUUGGACUUAGGCGAAGACACACUGCAGUGCUCAGCACUGCAGCAGACAGGCCCUUUAUUGAAUCUGGCCUCACUGCAAUAAGUGUGAGUAAUGGUAAGAGAGGCAUAAGAGCAGAAUGACUGUACAGGAGGGAGGGCUGCUCUUGAGUUGCUAGAGUGAAAAACAUAUUUGUAAAGGGAUAAAAUUAGUGCUGGGUACAAAAAUGCCAUUUAAUGAAACAAAUGACUACACUGCUCAGUGGCAGGAAAAAACAUGACACCUUACAGAUAAUCAUCAGUCCCCCUUCUCUGUCUCAGGGUUGCUGCAGAGCAGCAUUUCUGGCAGCACUGGGCAGGCUGGGAUGAGAAUUGGAUCCCAGUGCUGAGGCCUCCUGAGUGCUGAGACCCCCAAGCCACAGGUCUCACUGUGGGGACAGUGAGUGACUGUCUUGGGUUCUCACCUGUGGGCUUGUAGUGAGAACAGUUUUCCUCAGGUACCAAGAGCAGGGCAGGAGGGAGACAUGGGAACGCGGUCUCGCUGAGAUGUGUAUUGCUUGUGAGGUACUUGUGGCAGCAAUGUCACAGAAAAACUUCAUAAUAAAAAUCGAAUGUUUUUUCUUAUUGGGUGCUCUUUUGUCCCCUGCUCCUUGUGUUUUAUUGCUCCUGUGCUAUAUUUCUGCUUUCAUUGUCUCCUUUUUGAUGUAGUUCUACGUCCUUAUUUUUGUUCCCUAUUGUUGCAUUUUUAGUCAUGCAUGUCACUACUCCUUUAGCUUUCUUAAAGACUUCUCUCUCAUCUCUGUUGUGAUCUGCUGUACAGCUUGGCCACGGUCCAUAUGAUGGAGCAAUGUAGCCAAGCUGUGGGUUGACCGCCCUUGCAUCACUGCCCUGACCCAGAUUGCAUCUGCAGUCAUCUGGAACUGACUACACGCCUGAACUGAUGAAAGAGGCUGUGGAAAUACGGAUCUCUGGGGCCUUGGCAAGAUGCUUGUGCCAUAUCCACCUGUCCUCUGGAAGACAAAAGAGUGAGUAUCAGCAGUGUGUCAUUUAUUCUGCAAAAACUGAACAGAUGAAAACUGCCUUGACAGCCAGUAGAAGAAAAUAGUGUGAUAUGGCCACAGCAAGCACAUGUUCUGUCAAACAAUUGCACAAUGAUCCCAACGAGGAGUGGCACUCAACUUCCCUGUGAUUACCUCCGUUCUUUAAUUUUGCUGUAACAAUAUAGUUUCUUUCCAACACACAAGUGUUUAUGCAAAAAUGCCAAGAUUCUCUAUGCAGGUUAAAAUAGGUUUAGAAAUUAAGGAAAGGCUGGUAUGGAACAAGAGGAAAAUUAUCCCAGUAUUUUGCACCUUUUUGUAAUCAAAGUCCUGUCUUUGGAGGGUGUUAUGUCAACUACACACUUGGUAAAGCCUAUAACGAUUUUCCUUGUGUAAUGACUGCAGGAGUUAGCCCUAGCAUAUCACACUAGUCCCAAGGUGGUGUCCAGUAAGCAGUAGCUGGGCUCACUUGGGAAAAAUGCAGGAAGAAAACUUGGUGAGAGCUGGAUCCUCUGCAGUGUCACCUCUCAUGAGUGAUUGACAAAAUAAAAUAAAAAAAUUAACUAAUUCACCAUGGGGAUGGAAGGAUGGAUGCUUCCUGUUGUGGAAUAGGACAAAGUCCUGUGACAUGUUCCUUUCUAUUAGGUCUGAUACCACUACUUUUGAUUAAUUUUUAAAAAUCAACUGUAAAGCUAUAGGUCAGCCAAUAAGACAGUGACUUGACUAAUUUUUCGUUGCACAGUGUAUGAUAGUUUCAUGUCUUUACCUGACAUCAGUGCAGACAGUGUGUUUUGAAUCCAAUGAAAUUUGAAUCCCACUAUGAAUUUGUUUUCUACAAGUAGGUUAUUAACAGAAGCCUUUGAUUUCUAUUAAUUAUGUAUUUUUGAGUGAAAAGCUAUUUUGUGUAUAUGUAUUUAAUAACAGGAAAUGUAGCAAGCAUUUUUAUUAAACUAAUAAAAGGAAUAAAUCUA